UAACAUUUUCAAAAGAAAAAACCCACCCCUAAAAGAAACCUAGUUUUAACUUUCGACUGAAAACAGUUGUUUUCUGCUACGGAUUCCUUUGCUCUGUGCGCCUAUUGUCUUUCUUGCUACCUUAUACUUGUCAGUUGGUCGAGGGAAUGCUGAGCCUAAGCAACACUCUUCCAACAGUUUCUGGUCCUCAGAGAAGCAGUUUUGCCUCUCCAAUUUUAGCUGUCAAUCCUCAAAAAAGUAUCAGCUUCCUUAAAAAUCACAGCUUUGUGUUUUCAUCAUCUUUAAUGAGACAACAGUCUGAACACACCCCAACUAUGUUAUCUUGCAAAGCUUCUUUGGAAGUUGUAACGGACUCACCCGGCGGUUUAGAAGUCCAUGGAAUAUCGGAAAUGGUUGUGGGUGUUUUGGGAGGAGGGCAGCUGGGUCGUAUGCUGUGUGAAGCGGCAUCCCAGAUGGCGAUCAAAGUGAUUGUCUUGGACCCAAUGAAUAAUUGUCCUGCUAGUGCACUGGCACAUCAACAUGUGGUAGGAAGCUAUGAUGACAGUGCCACUGUUGAAGAAUUUGGGAAAAGGUGUGGAGUACUAACCGUUGAGAUCGAGCAUGUUGAUGUUGUCACACUUGAGAAGCUUGAGCAACAAGGUGUGGAUUGCCAACCCAAGGCCUCUACUAUUCGUAUAAUCCAGGAUAAAUAUCUUCAGAAGGUCCACUUUUCUCGUCAUGCUAUCCCACUUCCUAAGUUUAUGCAGAUUGAUGAUCUUGAAAGUGCUAGACGAGCAGGGGACCUGUUUGGUUAUCCUCUUAUGAUAAAGAGCAGGAGGUUGGCAUAUGAUGGGCGUGGCAACGCUGUCGCUAAAAGCGAGGAGGAGCUCUCCUCUGCUGUUAAUGCACUUGGAGGAUAUGGUCGUGGUUUAUAUGUUGAGAAAUGGGCGCCAUUUGUGAAGGAGCUCUCUGUGAUUGUGGCGAGGGGAAGGGAUGGUUCAAUUGCAUGUUACCCUGCUGUAGAAACUAUUCACAGGGAUAACAUUUGUCAUAUCGUAAAGUCACCUGCUAAUGUAUCUUGGAAGAGUAUGAAACUUGCAACGGACGUUGCGCACAGAGCUGUUAGUUCAUUAGAAGGUGCAGGAGUCUUUGCUGUUGAGUUGUUUUUGACAGAAGAUGGUCAGAUUUUACUAAAUGAAGUAGCUCCCAGACCUCAUAAUAGUGGGCAUCACACCAUUGAGGCUUGCUUCACUUCACAAUUCGAGCAACAUUUGCGGGCUGUGGUUGGCCUUCCACUUGGUGAUCCAUCAAUGAAAACUCCUGCUGCAGUCAUGUAUAACAUAUUGGGGGAAGANUGAUGAGAUUCAGGCGAACCUGGAUUUCUUUUAGCUAAUCAACUUAUUGAAAAAGCAUUGGGAAUCCCGGGGGUAUCUGUUCAUUGGUAUGACAAACCAGAGAUGCGAAGGCAACGCAAGAUGGGACACAUCACAAUAGUUGGCCCUUCUAUGGGCAUUGUGGAAGCUCAGCUAAGGGUGAUUCUAAAUGAAGAAAGUGUUAAUGGCCAUCCUGCAGUUGCACCACGUGUUGGGAUCAUAAUGGGAUCUGAUUCAGAUCUUCCUGUUAUGAAGGAUGCUGCCAAGAUUUUAAAUGAGUUUGAUGUGCCUGCUGAAGUAAAAAUAGUUUCAGCCCACCGUACACCUGAGAUGAUGUUUUCUUAUGCUUUGUCUGCACGGGAACGUGGCAUCCAAGUAAUAAUUGCUGGUGCUGGUGGUGCCGCCCACUUACCUGGAAUGGUUGCUGCAUUUACUCCACUACCUGUUAUUGGCGUUCCAGUACGCGCUUCCACAUUAGAUGGACUUGACUCCCUAUUGUCCAUUGUUCAGGUACCUUUGGUCUUUACUCUAGAACAACAGUAUCCAGUCAUGUCAAGCUCGGUACUUAUGGGGGUUAAUGUCUUUUAUUGCUCGACGCGGUUGAGAUUAUGAGAAUAACUUGGAAUUUAAUGAUCACCUUGUAGGAUGGCCCAGUACCAAGAGGACAGAAGAGAUGAGGUUUUGGUCAAGGGGGAGAGACUAGAAAAGAUUGGCUUUGAAGAAUAUCUGAACUCUUAAAUUAUUUCAGCACUAGCUGUUUCUAACAUGCACCAAAGUGUACUAGCAUGGUGUUGACCUGCUUUGUACAAUAGUCAAUAUUAAAGAGCAUAAGCACGAGCACUAGGUUACAUUGAUGCUGGUCGGGAGCAAAUGCAUAUUGAGACCGAUGAAUGAAAAUCCAUCAUUCAAGAUCACGUCGAACAGCCUUCUGCUUGUAAUCUUGAGAAAGAUGUGUUGUUCUUUCUUCCCUUAUUUUUUUCUUUGAUCUGGAUUUCAGUGGCGCAAGAGUGUAGUUGUUCAAAAUUAAACUACUGGUCUGUUUCUGCGGACCAUUUUAAUCUGCUUUGUGAUUUAAAAGGAUGAGAAUUGCCAGUUUUGAUAUAUGAGAUUAAGGAGGAAUAUUGAACUUUUGCUGCAUU